rnacentral:rRNA from 1 species
CCUAUAGCAUAUCAUUAAUGCACUGGAUCCCAUUAGAAAUCUGCAGUUAUGCACACUCAGGAUAUAGUAGUACUGGGAUGGGUGACCACUAGUGAAGUCCUAGUGUUUUACAUGC